rnacentral:rRNA from 1 species
GACGGUACUUGAUGAAUAAGCCACGGCUAAUUCCGUGCCAGCAGCCGCGGUAAUACGGGAGUGGCAAGCGUUAUCCGGAAUUAUUGGGCGUAAAGCGUCCGCAGGCGGCCCUUCAAGUCUGCUGUUAAAAAGUGGAGCUUAACUCCAUCAUGGCAGUGGAAACUGAGGGGCUUGAGUGUGGUAGGGGCAGAGGGAAUUCCCGGUGUAGCGGUGAAAUGCGUAGAUAUCGGGAAGAACACCAGUGGCGAAGGCGCUCUGCUGGGCCAUCACUGACGCUCAUGGACGAAAGCCAGGGGAGCGAAAGGGAUUAGAUACCCCUGUAGUCCUGGCCGUAAACGAUGAACACUAGGUGUCGGGGGAAUCGACCCCCUCGGUGUCGUAGCCAACGCGUUAAGUGUUCCGCCUGGGGAGUACGCACGCAAGUGUGAAACUCAAAGGAAUUGACGGGGGCCCGCACAAGCGGUGGAGUAUGUGGUUUAAUUCGAUGCAACGCGAAGAACCUUACCAGGGUUUGACAUCCUGCGAAUCUCUUGGAAACGAGAGAGUGCCUUCGGGAACGCAGUGACAGGUGGUGCAUGGCUGUCGUCAGCUCGUGUCGUGAGAUGUUGGGUUAAGUCCCGCAACGAGCGCAACCCACGUCUUUAGUUGCCAGCAUUUAGUUGGGCACUCUAGAGAGACCGCCGGUGAUAAACCGGAGGAAGGUGUGGAUGACGUCAAGUCAUCAUGCCCCUUACAUCCUGGGCUACACACGUACUACAAUGCUACGGACAAAGGGCAGCAAGUUCGCGAGGACAAGCAAAUCCCAUAAACCGUGGCUCAGUUCAGAUCGUAGGCUGCAACUCGCCUACGUGAAGGAGGAAUCGCUAGUAAUCGCAGGUCAGCAUACUGCGGUGAAUACGUUCCCGGGCCUUGUACACACCGCCCGUCACACCAUGGAAGUUGGCCACGCCCGAAGCCGUUACUCCAACCCUUGUGGAGGAGGACGUCGAAGGUGGGGCUGAUGACUGGGGUG